rnacentral:lncRNA from 1 species
AUGCUCUUCACAGCCAAGACACCAUCGGUCCUCCCCACAGCUCUGCCAUUUUCUAGUCAGGGGUGGGGCUCAGAUCUAAGGCAUGAGUUGCUGACCACCACGCAGACGGCUCAGGUCCUGACUCCCAUCCUGGAUCCACAGCAAUCAGCUGUGCCCCAGCCCGCACCCUCCCACCAGGACAAGUACUGUGUGCCUUCGCUCCAGCGUGGCCCUCUCCCCAGCGGGCCAGGCAGCCACAGGGCUCCGCCUGCGCGCAGGCUCCAGAACCUGUUGCCAUGGCAACAUGGGGUCCAGGCCUGCCCUGCUCUGGAGAGGAGCCUGAAGCUGAGGACUUCCUUGGGUGAGCAGUGACAUGAAAAUCUGGGCAGCUGUGAUCCAGGCCACACAGGGAGGCAUCAUGUAUCAGGGUGACGGCAAAAGUGUGGGCAUUCAAAUUCUGGCACGGUGACUUCCUUGCUGGGUGACACCAGGUAAGCUAGUAUCUCUCUCUGACCUUCGGUGCCCCCUUCUCCAGGUAUGAAAACUAUGAUACGAGCACCAGCCCUCUGGGAAGUGGGUAAGGACUCUGCCCGUCGUGUUCGUUUGCUGCUGAAAGGGUGACCUUUGCUGUACUUCUCUCAAUGCUGUCAGUUUAGGUAAAGCUCUGGCUCAGGGCGAAUGCUCCGGAAGUGAGGCUGUCUCAGUGAGCAGGGUGCUCCAGGACCAGCAGGUGAGCAGCAAAAGGUGCAGUGAGAGCAGACCAGGUGCCAGACGGGACUUGUCUCCCAGUCUGUCUGGCCCGGGUUCCCUCACCCUGGGGGGCUUUACUCCAUUUCCAGCCAGCUUCCAGGACAGGUACAUCAGAGCUGCCCGUCCAAACAUCCUCUUCCUUGUCUGGAGACUGGAGGAGCUAAAAAUGCAUUGCCUUGGCCCUGGGAAAACAAACACGACGCUUCCCUUGCCUUUGUCUACAGGACACGAGGUCCAAGGCUGCGAAGGCAGUGUGGUGGCUGCUCCAGGCUUCCCUAGGCCUGCGGGGGCAGGGGCAGGGGGUCGGGUAUCUGUCUGUCUGCCUUCUUGGGGUCUCUCCUGCCUCCCUCACCGCCUCAAUGGCCUGAGCCUCAACCAGGGUGGGAGGUGUCUAACAGGACACAUGCUGUGGCCUCCCCAGCUGUGGGCUGCUAGCCCUGCCUCUGGAGUUCACCGGUGGGUGUGUGUGUGCACACACGUGUGCAGCUUAGAGUGCUAAUAACGCACACAGGGACAACUGAUGACACUGCUGGACCGCCUGCUCCUGCUCUCAACACUCAAGAUGUCUUAACUCAUUUGACUCUGUGAGGCAAUUACGAUCAUCAUUCACGUUUUACAGAUGAGGAAACCAAGGCUCGGAGAAGUGGGAUGACUCGUUGAAGGUGACGAGCUAAUACGUGGUAAAGUGGGGCUUUGAACCCAGGCAGUUUUUGCUGGGAAGCCUUGUCCGCUGCCCUUGCUAAGUCUCAGUUUCCUCAUCUGUGAAAUGAGCACGCACAAUGUAACACUUCCCUCUCCAGGUGAUCGUGGGGGCAAGGCAAGGGCAAAGGCCUUGCCAUCAGGGAGGCAGGGGACUGGCCAGUGAGGGGGUCUGGGGGAGCCGAUGGCAGCUACAGGGUGCAGGAGCAGAGGACACACUUGGCCAUCACUCAGCUCGGGCUGGGGUCUCAGGCCAUUUGUGGGCUGGUCUUGGACCGUCCCCAGCUUGACGCUCAAGUUCCUCUUCCAUCAAGCUGGGAAAAGCUAACUUGCCUGGCAGAGGUACUUCCAGGGCUCCCUCUGCAGAGCAGGAAUACCCAGGACACACCGUUCCCAUCCUUCUGGACUUGAGGGCACCUGAGGGUGGGCUUGAAUCCAACUCCUCCCCCAGCCCCUGGUCCCCACUCCCAUGGUAUGAGAUGCUUUCAAUGGACGAGGGUUUAGCUUGCUCUAAACACAGUCCCCAAAGCCCCUAGCUUUGGGCAGGCCCCCUCCAGCACCUAUUUGAGGGCUUCGGCUGCUCAGUUUUCCACUUGGGUCAGACCUAUUUGGGGUGAGGGGGAAUGAGAAUUAUGGGAGUGUGGCCUCCACCUAUCAUAAUUCACUCCCAGCCCUCCUGGAAAGCCUGGUUCCUCAGCGGUCCCAGUGCCAAAGAUGGGCUGGGUUCUUCAAGGGGGUGCCCCUCAGAUAUCUUGUGCACCUCAGUUUAGAGGCUCAUGUUCCAAGCUCCCUCCCCAACUUUUUCCACCCUUCAGAUGGAAGCAACAGGCCAGGAAGAAACAGGUAAGAUGUUGACUCAUUUAUUUGUUUCUUCAACAGAUAUUUAUUGAGCAACUACUGUACAGCAGGAGCUGAAAUGGGUGUAGUCUAGUGCCAGACCCAUAAAAGGGCAACGACAAUGCCAUGGGGCAGGGGGGGUUCCCUGGUGGCUCAGAUGGUCAAGAGUCUGCCUGCAACACAGGAAACCUGGGUUCAAUCCCUGGGACGGGAAGAUCCCUGGAGAAGGAAAUGGCUACCCGCUCCAGUACUCUUGCCCGGAGAAUCCCAUGGACAGAGGAGACUGGUGGGCUACAGUCCAUGGGGUCGCAAAGAGUCAGACAUAACUAAGUGACUAACACAUCCACUUUCAAUACUAUGGGGGACAUGCUGUGGGAACCCAGAGUAAGCACCAAGCCUGAGGGCUUCCUGGAGGAGGUGUUGGUUAAGCCCAGCCUAUCAAGAGAAAAAGUAGGAGGUGUUCGUCCCCCUCCCUGCCACGCCCAUAUUGAUAUGGUGCUUGCUGCAGGAAAGGGCUCUGCUCAGCAUGGCAUUCAGGUCCAUGUGCCAUGUGGUCCCUGCUGCCUCUGCUGUGGUCCCCGUCUUGCCACUUCUAACCAGUGUGCAAAGGCAUCUUAGGUUGGAAUGAUUUAUGCCUCCCUAACUCAAGAGGCUGGCGGUCCCAGAGUGCCAGGGCUGGCUCUCCUUCCCGAUUCCAUUCCCGAGUGUUUCACACAGGGCCUGCAUGCAGUGGGUGCCCAACGAUGCUGCUCCCAGUAGCCUUCUCCCAUCACAUCCCCCUUCUGAGGCUGAGCUGUGUGCGCUCCCUUUGUGCUCCUACAGCACUCUGUAUUUAAGUCAAAACUCAUAUUGGUACAGCACUCUCAGUUGGCAAGGUGCUUUUUCAGGGGUUUGUGUGUUUGAUUUGGUGUGUUUUGUUUGGUGUUUGUGUGUUUAAAGCUCAUCAAAGCCCUGUGUAAGAAGUGCCGUUGCGGUCAUCGCCAUCACCUGCCGGGACACGGCACAGCGUGGUGGUUUAAGCAAACGUGUGAGCGCAGCAGCCGGAUGACCUGAAUUCAAGUCCUGACUCCACAGCUAUGUGACCUUGAACUCUGUGGUUAUGUGACCUUGCUUCACUGACUCCAUUUACAAGACAGAAGCAAACAUAUCUCACUGGAGCACUGAAGAUCAUAUGCAGAGUAAUAAGAACACUACCAGCCAUAAGGACACCUCAGUCAUAAUGGUAGCUAUUGUCAAUUAUAAAGAAGGAUACAGAAGGUCAAGGUCAAGGUCACCUAGCUGUCCAGUGGAGCAGGGUUUUAUCUCUAAGUCUGCAGACUUCAAAUCUUGGGUUUGGGGAUUAUCUUCCCAUCUUCCCCACCCCAUCCCCCUUGUCACCCUGUCUCCUAAUUUAUCUGUUCGUGCCUCUGUCUGUCCUUCCACAUGGGGCUCUUCCAGAGCAGUAUCAGCACCAAGCCGUCUCCCCAGUGCCUGGACGGUGCCUGGCCACGGGGGACUGUGUUGAAGGAAUGACGCAUUCCAUGUACCAGGCAUCCUGUUCUGUGCUUCCACAUGGAUUAUCUGUGCCUCCAGACCACUCUAUGAAGUAGAUAACAAUUCUUCUACAACUGUCUUCAGCUCCAAUAAAGCACUUAUUGGUCUGGAUAUAUAUGAAUACUUGUGAAUUCAUCACACCCAGCCAAGACGACAAAUGUUUUCACCCUCCCCCUCCAAAAAUGUCCCAUGCUUCUUGGAAAUCCUUCCCUCCCUCCAAUUGUAGAUUUCUCUCCAGUUUCGAGAUAGGGAAGGAAAUCGAGGGACUGAGAAGUUAGACUUUCCAGAGACACUUGGUCAGCAAGUGGCCACGCCAGUAUUUGAACCAAGAUGACCCGUCCGCGGCCAAGCUGCCUUGGCGGUAAUGGGAAGAGGGUGGGAGUGUGUGGCGGUCUGUAGAGACACCCCCCCCGGGAGGUCCUCCCUCCUCACCGCCCCUGCUCAGGCCCAAGAAGACAAUCUAGGAAGAGAUGGUCGGUGUGUCUCUCAGAAGGGUGUGUGCACAUGUGAGGAGCAGGCUGCCACCCCAUAGGGAUGUUUGGGUACAAAGGGCAGACGACAAAGACAGCACAAGGAGACCAGAUAAAGGUGUCCUCAAGCCAGGAGCCGGGUGAUGCGGUGGGCCUGCGGGCCUCAUGGUGGGUGCUGGGCUCCGCGUGUGAGCGUGUGACUCUGUGACUGACCGUGUGACUGCUGAAGGCAGGGACAUAGCAGCUCCAGGAGCUGGGGGGGCGGAAGGCGUUAACCGUAUGAAUGCUGGCGUGGGGUGGGGGUGGGGAGACCCGGCCUCCAACCUGGGGGCUGAGGGAGGUAGUAAACAUCAGGGUGAUUGGAGGAGCAUGAUGGCGGCCCUACAAGGAUGCUGCAGGGUUGUGGGGUUUGUGUGACUUUGCAGUUCAACAUUUUCAAAUUCAGCCAAUGCCGGCAGCGCCUGUUGUGUGCCAGGCAACCGGCUAGGAGGAGAUGAGCGUAUCAGGCUUUUGGCUGCAUGGUUCGGGCUGCAGGGUUUGUGUGAUCACCUUGUGGCUCGUUUGGGGCUGGGUGCUUUUUGCCCUCUCCAGGCAUUAAGUCCUCACAAUCCACCCACCCCACUUUGAGGCGAGAUGGAGGAGCACAGAGAGGAAGUGACUUGCCCAAGGUGACCCAGCUACUCAGCGCCAGGCAGGAUUGCAGAGCCUGAGUGCUUCAGCACCACGCCUGGGCUAGGGCCGCAAACCUCCAGUCUUGGAGGUGCCGCCUUGGAAUCCUGCAAGCCAGCGGCUUGGGAGACACCCUGGCCCCCAACCACGUGGGCUAGAAACCAGGCCACAGACACUGCUGAGGGGCCCAGCGUUUGAUGGUCCCUAGUUCUCCCUUGCCAGGGACCGGAUUCCUGGGCAGAGGGGAGGCGGGGCUUUCGGAGACCCCUAAGUUCCCCCUCCUCGCCUCAGGCCCUCCUGGAGCCUUCCCCACCCUCCCGUUACUGACUCUCGGCCAGAAGAGGAAAAGCUGUCUCCACCCACCUCUCGCACUCUCCCGUCUCCUUU